AGUGAACGCUGGCGGUAGGCCUAACACAUGCAAGUCGAACGGCAGCACAGUAAGAGCUUGCUCUUACGGGUGGCGAGUGGCGGACGGGUGAGGAAUACAUCGGAAUCUACUUUUUCGUGGGGGAUAACGUAGGGAAACUUACGCUAAUACCGCAUACGACCUACGGGUGAAAGCAGGGGAUCUUCGGACCUUGCGCGAUUGAAUGAGCCGAUGUCGGAUUAGCUGGUUGGCGGGGUAAAGGCCCACCAAGGCGACGAUCCGUAGCUGGUCUGAGAGGAUGAUCAGCCACACUGGAACUGAGAAACGGUCCAGACUCCUACGGGAGGAAGCAGUGGGGAAUAUUGGACAAUGGGCGCAAGCCUGAUCCAGCCAUACCGCGUGGGUGAAGAAGGCCUUCGGGUUGUAAAGCCCUUUUGUUGGGAAAGAAAAGCAGCAGGUUAAUACCCCGCUGUUCUGACGGUACCCAAAGAAUAAGCACCGGCUAACUUCGUG
rnacentral:rRNA from 1 species